rfam:Valsa mali var. pyri strain SXYL134 unplaced genomic scaffold scaffold00021, whole genome shotgun sequence.
CCCUGAUGAGAUUCGUAGCUGGCACCAGUCAUAGGGUUUUUUGUACUCUCUCCAUUGAUGAUCAAGCUUUGUUGAAUUUAAUUCAUGUUUCUGAA